GGGGCCGUAGCUCAGCUGGGAGAGCGCCUCGUUCGCAAUGAGGAGGUCGUCGGUUCGAUCCCGAUCGGCUCCACCA
rnacentral:tRNA from 3 species